ACUGGCUAGGAUGAUACAUACUUGCCCUCACUUAGACCCUAGUUCGUUGCUGAGAGCACUGUUCUGAGCCAGU
ensembl:snoRNA Snord85 small nucleolar RNA, C/D box 85